CGGAGAGUUUGAUCAUGGCUCAGGACGAACGCUGGCGGCGUGCCUUAGACAUGCAAGUCGAACGGAGUAGCAAUACUCAGUGGCGAACGGCGGAGUAAUGCAUAAGCAACGUGCCCCAAAGACUGGGAUAGUCGAGGGAAACCACGGGUAAUACCAGAUGUGGUCCUUAGAUGGCAUCAUCAAGGGAUUAAAUCGAGCAAUCGGCUUUGGGAGCGGCUUAUGUCCUAUCAGCUUGUUGGUGAGGUAACGGCUCACCAAGGCUACGACGGGUAGGGGGUCUGAGAGGAUGAUCCCCCCGAGUGGGACUGCGACACGGCCCACACACCUACGGGUGGCAGCAGUUUGGAAUAUUGCACAAUGGGGGAAACCCUGAUGCAGCGACGCCGCGUGGAGGACGAAGGAUCUAGGCGAAUAAGCCCCGGCUAACUACGUGCCAGCAGCCGCGGUAAGACGUAGGGGGCGAGCGUUGUCCGGAUUUACUGGGCGUAAAGAGCGCGUAGGCGGCUAGUUAAGUGAGAAGUGAAAUCUCCAGGGCUCAACCCGGAAACUGCUUUUCAUACUGGCCAGCUGGAGGGACGCAGGGGUGACUGGAAUUCCCGGUGUAGCGGUGAAAUGCAUUGAUAUCGGGAGGAACUCCAACAGCGAAGGCAGGUCACUGGGCGUUUCCUGACGCUGAGGCGCGAAAGCGUGGGUAGCAAACAGGAUUAGAUACCCUGGUAGUCCACGCCCUAAACGAUGGAUACUAGACGUAAGAGGUAUCGACCCCUCUUGUGUCGCAGCUAACGCAUUAAGUAUCCCGCCUGGGGAGUACGGCCGCAAGGUUGAAACUCAAAUGAAUUGACGGGGACCCGCACAAGCGGUGGAGCAUGUGGAUUAAUUCGAUACUAACCGAAGAACCUUACCCAGGUUUGACAUCGAUGGUAAGCCCGAGAGAUCGGGCCCUCUCUCACAAGGAGACCUGAAGACAGAUGUUGCAUGGCUGUCGUCAGCUCGUGCCGUGAGGUGUACGGUUAAGUCCGCCAACGAGCGCAACCCUCGUCCUAUGUUGCCAGCGAGUAAUGUCGGGAACUCAUAGGAGACCGCCGGUGUAAGCCGGAGGAAGGUGGGGAUGAUGUCAAGUCAGCAUGGCUCUUACGCCUGGGGCUUCACACAUGCUACAAUGGGCGCAACAAAGGGCACCGAAGCCGUGAGGUGGAGGCAAUCCCAAAAAUACGCCCCCAGUUCAGAUUGCAGUCUGCAACUCGACUGCAUGAAGGCGGAAUCGCUAGUAAACGCAGGUCAGCUAUACUGCGUUGAAUACGUUCCCGGGUCUUGUACACACCGCCCGUCAAGUCACCUGAAUUGUCUUCACCCGAAGUCCGUGGCCUAACCGUAAGGAGGGAGCGGCCGAAGGUGAGGGGAGUAAGGGGGACUAAGUCGUAACAAGGUACCCGUACCGGAAGGUGUGGGUGGAUCACCUCCUUAAA
rnacentral:rRNA from 1 species